rnacentral:rRNA from 1 species
UGGGUGAUCUACCCUCGGUUUCGGGAUAGCCCGGGGAAACCCGGAUUAAUACCGAAUGGCUUCUAGAGCUCUCGGGCUCGAGAGAAAAGGUAGCUUCAGCCUCUGACCGAGGAUGAGCCCGCGGCCGAUUAGCUAGUUGGUGGGGUAACGGCCCACCAAGGCGACGAUCGGUAACUGGUCUGAGAGGACGAUCAGCCACACUGGGACUGAGACACGGCCCAGACUCCUACGGGAGGCAG